CUUCCUAGAGUUUGUUUAGGGCAACCCGAUUCUUAGAGUUACUUAUGGCAUCCUCCUCAUUUGAUUAUGUUUAAGGCAACCCCCAUUCUUGAGUCUUAUUAGCGCAUUCCCCUUCCAUGAGUUUCCUAAUGGCAACACCUUUUUUUUUAGUUUGUUUAGGGCAUCCUCCAUCGUUGAGUUUAUUUAGGGCAACCUCAUAUUUUGUGUUUCUUUAAUGCAUGUACCUUCCUUGAGUUCAUUUAGGGAAUGUGAUUUCAUCGAGUCUUAUUAAGGCAUCUUUUUCCAUUAUUUUCUUUAAG
rnacentral:lncRNA from 1 species